rnacentral:lncRNA from 1 species
AAGAAACUGAAAAUGAUGGAGAUCAGUACUCUUCAUCUCUCAUCACCACCGAGAGGGAUGCUUAUAGAGCUGUGUGAUUGUACGUACGUGUGGAAGGUGGCUUUCCCAAGCCAUGAAGAUCAAUCAAUAUAUAUGCUAUUAAUUAACCUUCAAUUCUUUAAAUUAUUAAUUAGUUUUUGUGUCUAUGUCUUUUAAUUUCUUUCUUGUUAUCAUAACAUAGGUAUUUGCAGUGAUUUCUCUAACUCAACUCCAUGUUGUAUUGUCUAAAUAGAACUAGCUAUAGUUAGCUUUUGCCCUCUCUCUUUCGCAAUUCACUGCAUGAAAUACCAGUUAAAUUGUGCAAAACUGAUAGAAUCUCAAUAGUUAGUAGUUGGUAGAGUCAUGUGUUGGAAAAAUAAGGAUAAGGAAGGUGCCACUAUUUAUUAUCGAAUUAUUAAUCAUGGAAAAUGCAAUCUAGGUGAAUGGACACGGUUUCACAGCUCAAAUGACAUACGAAAGAAAGGAGGAAGAAAAAUCAGAGGACCUCCUUACAGCUCUCGGCACACAUCUCAACUUGAGAAAACACCUAAAAUUAAGCUGUCAUUCUCGAUCCGUUUAUUCCUUUGUUUCAUUUCUUGUCAAUCUUUCCUUCCGCGUCCGCAUCACCAACCUAGCUCUUUCUUAGCUCCUAACAGCACCAUCAUCAUCAUCACCUUGCUUGGCCCUAUUCGCCUUUUAAUUUGAUUAGAGAUGGUGCUGUAAGAUAAUAAUAAUAAUAAUAAUAAUAAUAAAAACAAAAGAGUGUGAGAGAGAAAAGAAUGACAUGCAGCCAAAUCAUAUUAAUAUUAUCAUUACCGGUGACACCUUCUUUAGAAUAAGAGAAUCAUUGUUGUGGGUUUUGGUGGCUGAUCUCUUGUCCUCUCAUUAUCAUUGUCAUCUUCGAUGCUAAUGGGCGCGCGCUAUGCUCCGCUUGUGCGCGCACCCACAGCAUUAAUAUUGGCCUUGGUUGUUUUGGUAUUGGUUUCAUCAUCAUGUGCAGCUGGAGGCGCAAGCGGCGAUGCAGAGGCAUUAUGGAAUUUCAGGGAUUCAUUGACAAAUGUGGUAGCACUUAGCAGUUGGGAUCCAUCCAUAAACCCAAAGCCACCUUGCUCUGGCAAUAUUCCUAACUGGGUGGGGUUGUUUUGUAUUAAUGACAAGGUUUGGGGGUUGCGGCUUGAGAACAUUGGGCUAACGGGCAACAUUGACGUGGGAUCUCUAGGUUCAAUGUCUGCUCUUCGGAUGAUUAGCCUAAUGAACAAUACAUUUGUGGGUCCUUUGCCCAACCUCAAGAUGCUGCCAAACUUGAAGGCCCUCUACUUGUCAUACAAUCAUUUCUCAGGACAUAUACCUGACGAUGCAUUUGUUGGUUUACAAAAGUUGAGGAAACUCUGUUUGGCCAAUAACGAGUUUACAGGUAAUAUUCCUUCUUCCAUCACUACCUUGCCUAGUCUCCUCGUUCUCAGACUUGACGCUAACAAGUUUCGAGGUCAAAUCCCCGCUUUUCAACACAAUCAUUUGAAGAUUAUCAAUCUCUCCAACAACGAGUUAGAGGGUCCUAUCCCCGCCAAUCUAACCGCCUUCGACGCCUCCUCCUUUAGCGGUAUGAUAUGACUAUAUACAUAUAUGCUAGUUAAUUAGUCUUGUCCAUCAGUCAUAUAUAUACUAAAGUCAAUUUGAAUUGCAGGCAACCCACGCCUAUGUGGGCCGCCUCUGAAGAAUGAGUGUGAAGAAGCUGUAGCCCCAGUCCCAACGCAGGAGAGUACUACUUCAACUAAAAUGCGCGUUAUGAAAAUUUUACUUAUUCUGAUCGUGAUCGCAUUCAUAAUAGCCAUCCUGGUUUCAGUAUUGGCCAUAUGUCGCUUGAGAUCCCAAAAGCAGCUGCAACAGCCAGAUCAUCAUCAUCAUCAGUCGUCGUUCACCAACAAACACAUUCCUCCUCAUCCCGUUUUUGUGAAAACCAAAAGCCUAGCUGAACACUAUGAUGCUAGUCCUAAGCAUGUGUCAUCAGAUCAUCAUAGUCAUGGACAUUCUUCCAAGAAGGAGAAGGGGGAACAGAGCAAGCUUAUAUUCUUGAGGCAGGACCAACUCAAGUUUGAUUUACAAGAUUUGCUAAGGGCCUCCGCUGAAAUUCUAGGCAGUGCCUCAUUUGGUUCUUCCUACAAGGCAGUGGUUUUGGAUGGCCAAGCCGUGGUUGUUAAAAGGUACAAGCAAAUGAACAAUGUGCCGAGAGAGGAGUUUCAUGAGCAUAUGAGAAGGUUGGGAAAUCUCAACCAUCCCAACCUUCUUCCGCUUGUGGCCUAUUAUUAUAGAAAAGAAGAGAAGCUCCUCCUCUCUGCCUUUGUUCACAACGGUUGCUUGGCUAGCCACCUUCAUGGUAAUCAUAACCAUGAAAGGCCGGGGCUUGAUUGGUCAACCCGAUUAAAAAUUGUCAAAGGGGUAGCAAGGGGUUUGGCUUACCUAUACAAUGCACUCCCAAGCCUGAUUGUACCUCAUGGCCAUCUUAAAUCUUCCAAUGUGUUGUUGGAUGAAUUAUUUGAGCCCCUACUCACUGAUUAUGCCCUCAGUCCAGUCAUCAAUCUUGACCAUGCCCAACAAAUCAUCAUGCCUUACAAAUCUCCCGAGUAUGCUCAACUUGGUCGCAUUACAAAGAAAACUGACGUAUGGAGUUUUGGAAUUCUCAUAUUGGAGAUCUUGACGGGCAAAUUCCCUGAGAACUAUAUCGCACACAGGCAUAAUACUGAUGCUGACAUAUCCAGUUGGGUAAAUAUGUUAAUUACCGAGAAGCGGACGAGUGAAGUGUUUGACGUAGAGAUGGGAGGAAUCGGAAAUAGUAAAGCUGAAUUGCUCAAACUUUUAAAGAUUGGUUUGAGUUGUUGCGAGGAGAAUGUGGAAAGAAGGUUGGAUAUCAAGGAAGCUCUUCAGCAGAUUGAAGACUUGAAAGAAACUGAAAAUGAUGGAGAUCAGUACUCUUCAUCUCUCAUCACCACCGAGAGGGAUGCUUAUAGAGCUGUGUGAUUGUACGUACGUGUGGAAGGUGGCUUUCCCAAGCCAUGAAGAUCAAUCAAUAUAUAUGCUAUUAAUUAACCUUCAAUUCUUUAAAUUAUUAAUUAGUUUUUGUGUCUAUGUCUUUUAAUUUCUUUCUUGUUAUCAUAACAUAGGUAUUUGCAGUGAUUUCUCUAACUCAACUCCAUGUUGUAUUGUCUAAAUAGAACUAGCUAUAGUUAGCUUUUGCCCUCUCUCUUUCGCAAUUCACUGCAUGAAAUACCAGUUAAAUUGUGCAAAACUGAUAGAAUCUCAAUAGUUAGUAGUUGGUAGAGUCAUGUGUUGGAAAAAUAAGGAUAAGGAAGGUGCGCCGUGGAAGAACUACUACCUUGAAAGUAAAUAUUUCGGCAGACUUCGCUGCAAUCCAAUCUUGGGUUUUCUUUCCAAAGUAAACACAACCGCAUGCAAGGUAUCGUGCACUCAGAACUUAUUUAUAAUAUUUAUAAUGGAG